GAUGAACGCUGGCGGCGUGCCUAAUACAUGCAAGUCGAGCGAACGGACGAGAAGCUUGCUUCUCUGAUGUUAGCGGCGGACGGGUGAGUAACACGUGGAUAACCUACCUAUAAGACUGGGAUAACUUCGGGAAACCGGAGCUAAUACCGGAUAAUAUUUUGAACCGCAUGGUUCAAAAGUGAAAGACGGUCUUGCUGUCACUUAUAGAUGGAUCCGCGCUGCAUUAGCUAGUUGGUAAGGUAACGGCUUACCAAGGCAACGAUGCAUAGCCGACCUGAGAGGGUGAUCGGUCACACUGGAACUGAGACACGGUCCAGACUCCUACGGGAGGCAGCAGUAGGGAAUCUUCCGCAAUGGGCGAAAGCCUGACGGAGCAACGCCGCGUGAGUGAUGAAGGUCUUCGGAUCGUAAAACUCUGUUAUUAGGGAAGAACAUAUGUGUAAGUAACUGUGCACAUCUUGACGGUACCUAAUCAGAAAGCCACGGCUAACUACGUGCCAGCAGCCGCGGUAAUACGUAGGUGGCAAGCGUUAUCCGGAAUUAUUGGGCGUAAAGCGCGCGUAGGCGGUUUUUUAAGUCUGAUGUGAAAGCCCACGGCUCAACCGUGGAGGGUCAUUGGAAACUGGAAAACUUGAGUGCAGAAGAGGAAAGUGGAAUUCCAUGUGUAGCGGUGAAAUGCGCAGAGAUAUGGAGGAACACCAGUGGCGAAGGCGACUUUCUGGUCUGUAACUGACGCUGAUGUGCGAAAGCGUGGGGAUCAAACAGGAUUAGAUACCCUGGUAGUCCACGCCGUAAACGAUGAGUGCUAAGUGUUAGGGGGUUUCCGCCCCUUAGUGCUGCAGCUAACGCAUUAAGCACUCCGCCUGGGGAGUACGACCGCAAGGUUGAAACUCAAAGGAAUUGACGGGGACCCGCACAAGCGGUGGAGCAUGUGGUUUAAUUCGAAGCAACGUGAAGAACCUUACCAAAUCUUGACAUCCUUUGACAACUCUAGAGAUAGAGCCUUCCCCUUCGGGGGACAAAGUGACAGGUGGUGCAUGGUUGUCGUCAGCUCGUGUCGUGAGAUGUUGGGUUAAGUCCCGCAACGAGCGCAACCCUUAAGCUUAGUUGCCAUCAUUAAGUUGGGCACUCUAAGUUGACUGCCGGUGACAAACCGGAGGAAGGUGGGGAUGACGUCAAAUCAUCAUGCCCCUUAUGAUUUGGGCUACACACGUGCUACAAUGGACAAUACAAAGGGCAGCGAAACCGCGAGGUCAAGCAAAUCCCAUAAAGUUGUUCUCAGUUCGGAUUGUAGUCUGCAACUCGACUACAUGAAGCUGGAAUCGCUAGUAAUCGUAGAUCAGCAUGCUACGGUGAAUACGUUCCCGGGUCU
rnacentral:rRNA from 1 species